rnacentral:tRNA from 1 species
GAGGGUAUAGCUCAAGUGGCAGAGCGCAUGCUUAGCAUGCUUGAGCCCCUGGGUUCAAUCCGCAGUACCUCCU